rnacentral:rRNA from 1 species
GAGACCGAUAGUGAACUAGUACCGUGAGGGAAAGGUGAAAAGAACCCUGAACAAGGGAGUGAAAUAGAACCUGAAACCAUACGCUUACAAGCGGUCGGAGCGGCGCAAGCUGUGACGGCGUGCCUUUUGCAUAAUGAGCCUACGAGUUACUGUUGUUAGCAAGGUUAAGUACUUCAGGUACGGAUCCGUAGCGAAAGCGAGUCUGAAUAGGGCGCUUUAGUUAGUAGUGGUAGACGCGAAACCGUGUGAUCUACCCAUGGGCAGGGUGAAGCUGUAGUAACAUACAGUGGAGGCCCGAACCGAUAUACGUUGAAAAGUGUUCGGAUGACCUGUGGGUAGGGGUGAAAGGCCAAUCAAACUCGGAAAUAGC